rnacentral:tRNA from 1 species
GCCCGCCUAGCCCAACGGCAGAGGCCCAGCGAUUCAAACCCGCGGUGAUCCCGGUUCGAGUCCGGGGGCGGGCAC